GUACAGUUCCUCUGGCUAAACACUACUGCUUUUGCUUGGGCAGGGGUGAGGGGAGGCGGGGGGAGGGGCGUCCCUCUUGGCGCCUUCUGUUGUCCUGCUCCAGGAUGGAAAAGCUAUGCUCAGGUCUGCGGACCCGCUCUCCCCUGCGGACUUUCCAUUCUCUUCUUGGUAAUAAGGCUUUGUAUUAACAAAUCAAGAGGAAAGUGCGAGUUGCGGCUCCUAGACCAUGACUGGAGCACACAGCACUUUCCCAGUCUGAGAAAGUCAUUUUGUGACCCCGCAUCAAAAAUUCUCUGCGCGAAUAUUCAACUUCUGCGGGCAUCCCGGGGCCUGACGCUAGGGGGCAGACAAACCUAUGUUUAUGGACAAACCUUCCGGAAACAGGAUUGAAACUUCAAAUAAGUGUUUGCAGACGUGAUGAAAGAACCAAAAACAACCCCCCCC